ACUUUUCCCUCUUCACGUAAGGAAGGAUCGAUGGAUCGAAAGGUUCCUUGGACGGCAUCUGACAUCUCGGAUUCCACACUAGAUACCCGUCCAACGUCGCUGAUGGAGGGAAGAAAGGAAAAAGGAAAAUAAAAAAGGAAAAAAAUUCUCUUACCUU